GAGAGAGAAGAGGUAAAAGUCAGCACCAGCACAAAAGAAAAGUUCAACAUAAGUUACCACUCAAGCCAGAAUGUCUUUGGAUCAAAGAUGAAGUUGGAAAGCAGUUCAAUGUGAGAUUCUUAGCUAGGGCAGAAUACCUCAAUGGGUAGCAAGUAUCUACCAAAGAAGGACGAUGAUGAACAAAUGCAUGUUGACAAUCAUACUUC
rnacentral:lncRNA from 1 species